rnacentral:rRNA from 1 species
UGGGGAAUAUUGGACAAUGGGCGAAAGCCUGAUCCAGCCAUGCCGCGUGUGUGAAGAAGGCCUUUUGGUUGUAAAGCACUUUAAGUGGGGAGGAAAAGCUUAUGGUUAAUACCCAUAAGCCCUGACGUUACCCACAGAAUAAGCACCGGCUAACUCUGUGCCAGCAGCCGCGGUAAUACAGAGGGUGCAAGCGUUAAUCGGAAUUACUGGGCGUAAAGCGCGCGUAGGUGGUUAUUUAAGUCAGAUGUGAAAGCCCCGGGCUUAACCUGGGAACUGCAUCUGAUACUGGAUAACUAGAGUAGGUGAGAGGGGAGUAGAAUUCCAGGUGUAGCGGUGAAAUGCGUAGAGAUCUGGAGGAAUACCGAUGGCGAAGGCAGCUCCCUGGCAUCAUACUGACACUGAGGUGCGAAAGCGUGGGUAGCAAACA